GAUGAAGAACGUAGUGAAAUGCGAUAAGUAAUGUGAAUUGCAGAAUCCAGUGAAUCAUCGAAUCUUUGAACGCACAUUGCGCCCGCCAGUAUUCUGGCGGGCAUGCCUGUCUGAGCGUCAUUUCAACCCUCGCAACCAGCUUGCUGGAUGCGGUGUUGGGGAUCGGCCACCCGUACUGGGCGGCCGUCCCUUAAAUAGAGUGGCGGUUGCGCUGUGACCUCCUCUGCGUAGUAGCAAUAUCUCGCAGGCGGAUAGCGGUGUAACCACGCCGUAAAACCCCCAACUCUUCUUUGGUUGACCUCAGAUCAGGUAGGAAUACCCGCUGAACUUAAGCAUAUCAAUAAGCGGAGGA
rnacentral:misc_RNA from 1 species